GCUGGGCGCCGUGGUGCAUGCCUGUAAUCCCAACGGCUUUGGAGGCUGAGGCAGGAGGAUUUUGAGUUCAAAGCCAGCCUCAG
rnacentral:sRNA from 1 species